UGGGGAAUAUUGGACAAUGGGGGGAACCCUGAUCCAGCCAUGCCGCGUGUGUGAAGAAGGCCUUAUGGUUGUAAAGCACUUUAAGCGAGGAGGAGGGUACUGGUAUUAAUACUACCAGCUACUGGACGUUACUCGCAGAAUAAGCACCGGCUAACUCUGUGCCAGCAGCCGCGGUAAUACAGAGGGUGCAAGCGUUAAUCGGAAUUACUGGGCGUAAAGCGCGCGUAGGUGGUUCGUUAAGUUGAAUGUGAAAGCCCCGGGCUCAACCUUGGAACUGCAUCCAAAACUGGCGAGCUAGAGUAGGGCAGAGGGUGGUGGAAUUUCCUGUGUAGCGGUGAAAUGCGUAGAUAUAGGAAGGAACACCAGUGGCGAAGGCGACCACCUGGGCUCAUACUGACACUGAGGUGCGAAAGCGUGGGGAGCAAACAGG
rnacentral:rRNA from 1 species